AUGCACCACUCAAUCGCCAUUGCCAAGCUCGCCUUGCUCCUCGCCACUGCAGCCGUGUCCUGCGGCUUCUUCGUCGUCGCACAUGCACAUGCGCAGAAGAGCUGCUGGCCACGCGAGAGGGACGCGUUGCUGGCCUUGAAGCAGGGCAUCAACGACACCGAUGGCGUCCUCGCCUCGUGGCAAAAACUGCGCCAUGACUGCUGCCGCUGGACGGGCGUCGCCUGCAGCAACGAAACCGGCCAUGUCACCGAGCUUGACAUCGGUCUCAGCUGGUUGUUCGGCCAGAUAAGUCCUUCCUUGCUUUCUCUCCAGCAUCUCGAGUACCUGGAUCUCAGCACCACCUCCCUACUUGGACCAAACGGCAGCAGUGUAUUCCCAGAUUUCUUGUCUUCUUUGCACAACUUGAGACAUCUCGAUCUCGCCGGCACGCCAUACUCUGGUAGAGUUCCUGCUCGGCUUUCCAACCUUUCAAAUUUGGAGUAUCUCGAUCUCAGUUCGACAUCCCUGCAUGGUCGUGCUCAGUUCCUGUUUUCUUACAAAAACUUGAUACGUCUCGAUCUCUCCAACACGCUCUUUUCCGGUACACUGCCGCCUCAGCUAGGCAAACUUUCAAAGUUGGAGUAUCUCGAUCUCACCAACACGCUCUUUUCCGGUACACUGCCGCCUCAGCUAGGCAAUCUUUCAAACUUGCGACACCUUGACCUCAGUUAUAUGCAAAAUAUACACACAGCAGAUGUCUCAUGGUUAACUCAUCUGCAUUCCCUGGAAUAUCUUGACAUGAGUGACAUAAAUCUCAGCACCGCCGACGUGUUCCCUGUGGCCAACACAAUCCCAACUCUCAAGGACCUCAUUCUUAGUAACUGCUCGCUUCCAAAUGCAAACCAGUCGCUAAAACACCUAAACCUCACAAGCCUUGAGCGGCUUGAUCUCAACAGAAACGAUCUGGGCCAUCGAAUUGAUACGAGUUGGUUUUGGAACAUAACAGGCAUCACACAUUUAGACCUUGAUGAAACCUAUCUCUAUGGUCCAUUCCCUGACGCCCUAGGAGGUAUGACAUCCCUCCAAUUCCUAUCCUUUGCCAAUAACGGCAAUUCAGCCACAAUGAUGGUGGACUUGAAAAAUCUCUGUGAUUUAGAGCUCCUGCGGCUUGAUGGAAGUCUCGCGUUUGGGAACAUAACAGAGUUUUUAAGGAAACUGCCACAAUGCUCGUCCAACAAAUUCCUCUCCGUGUAUUCGAACCACAACAAUAUGACAGGAAUGCUGCCAGAUAUGGUUGGGCACUUGACCAGCUUAGAUGAACUUUCCCUUUCUAACAACAGCAUUACUGGAGCUAUACCAUCGGGGUUAAGGAAUCUUACUAGUUUGUAUGGCCUCGAUCUCACUUUGAACCAGCUAACUGGCCAGAUACCAAUGUUACCGAGAAGCCUCACUCGAUUGGCCAUCUCCAUGAACUCCUUGUCAGGACCUUUGCCGUUAGAUUUCGGAGCUCCAGAUCUUACAGACCUAAGUCUCUUCUCCAAUUGCCUUACUGGUCAUGUUCCUAGGGCUAUUUGUGAAUUGAAAAACCUUAGUUUGUUGGAUCUAUCCAAUAAUUUCUUUGAGGGAGAAUUUCCAUGGUGUUCUGCGAUGCCAAGCAUGGAAUUUCUGAUCUUAAGUAACAAUAACUUGUCUGGAAAUUUUCCAUCUUGGAUUCAGAACAGCUCACAAUUAGUUUUCCUUGAUCUUGCGGUGAACAAGUUCUAUGGAACGUUACCCAUGUGGAUUGGAGAAUUGGUGAACUUGAAAUUUUUGCUGCUAAACCAUAACAUGUUUUAUGGGGAUAUUCCAGCCAACAUCACAAAUCUUAUACUACUUCAGUACUUCAGUUUAGCAAGCAACAAUAUCUCAGGAUCAAUUCCAUCGUCCUUGUCAAAAUUAAUAGCAAUGACACUAGAACAUCCACAGCGUUGGACUCGCUGGUAUGUUCAAGAGGUCAUAAACAAGGACAUUUUGUCUGUGGUGAUGAAGCGGCAAAAUAUGAAGUAUGACAUACAUAGAGUUAACGAGAUGUACGGCAUUGACAUUUCACUCAACCACUUAACAGGUGGAAUUCCAGAUGAGAUAACUUCUCUUAAUGGAUUGUUUACUUUGAAUUUAUCAUGGAAUCACCUGAGUGGAAAAAUUCCUAGGAACAUUGGGGAUAUGAAAUCACUAGAAUCACUCGACUUAUCAAGGAACAACCUUUCCGGUGAAAUCCCAACAAGCUUGUCAGAUUUGACGUAUCUAAGCUCCUUGGACUUGUCAUACAACAAUCUUGUAGGAAGAAUUCCGACAGGACGUCAACUUGAUACCCUCUACGCCGAGAACCCAUCCAUGUACAGCGGCAAUAAUGGUCUUUGUGGGCCUCCUCUUAAAGAGAAUUGCCCAGGCAACAAUGCUCUAGAGCAUGGUAAUCAGCAGAGAAGAGAAAAUGGUUAUGAUCCAGUGGCGUUCUUCUACUUUGGGCUGACGGCUGGCUUUGUGGUGGGACUCUGGGUUGUCUUUUGUGCUCUUCUGUUCAAAAGAGCAUGGAGGAAUGCUUAUUUCCGCCUCUUUGACAAGCUACAUGACAAUGCGUACGUGUUUGUUGUUGUUACUUGGGGCAUGAUAACCAGUAAGACAACUACAAGUUAA
rnacentral:rRNA from 1 species